rnacentral:misc_RNA from 1 species
GGAAGGAUCAUUAACAAAUCAUGAAUGCAGUGUGCCCUUGUGGCACUUGCACAUACACCCGCACCUGUGCAGUCAAAUGCCGGGUCGGUGCCUAGUGUGUGUGUGUGUGUGGGGUGUGUGCAUGAGCAAUCAUGCCCCCCCCCUCACUCACUACUGGGCGACCGGUUGCAUUAUCGAAAGAUCAUGUGACGGUCACAUAGACGCUUUUUUUGUUUGACAGAGUUUAGUUUGUAUGCAAAUAUAGACAACUUUUAACAAUGGAUCUCUUGGCUCUUGCAACGAUGAAGAACGCAGUGAAAUGCGAAAAGUAAUGCGAUUUGCACGAAUCUGUGAGUCAUCAAGUCUUUGAACGCACCUUGCACCGUAUGAGUAAUCGUACGGUAUACCUGUUUGAGAAUCGUAAAAAUCCCUCACGACCAAGUGUAGCAAUAUAUGCGGUACAGUGGACUUGUCGAUUGAUCCCUUCUCACGGAGGGAUGAUCGAUUAAAUUGAUUAGGUCUGGAUCAGGCUAGUGGCCUGGGACAUUGUGUGCUAGAGACGAGAGUCUUCUCACAGUGCGUCCUAGGUCAAUUAUAAAGCUGGCCUGUGGUAGGACCUUUAACAGCGCGAGCCCUCGGGCUCGGCUACCCUCUCUCUUUGAUCUCAAAUCAGGUAAGGCUACCCGCUGAACUUAAGCAUAUCAGUAAGCGGAGGAAAAGAAACUAACAAGGAUUCCCCUAGUAACGGCGAGCGAAGCGGGAAGAGUUCAAAUUUAAAAUCUGGGAGGCCUUGCCUCUCCGAAUUGUAAUUUAAAGAGACGUUAUCUGGGUCUAGUCCGGUGCUCAAGUCCCUUGGAAUAGGGCGUCACAGAGGGUGAGAACCCCGUCUGGGCACUGGUGCUAGAUUCUAUAUGAGGCGUCCUCUACGAGUCGAGUUGUUUGGGAAUGCAGCUCAAAAUGGGUGGUAAAUUUCAUCUAAGACUAAAUACUGGCAAGAGACCGAUAGCGAACAAGUACCGUGAGGGAAAGAUGAAAAGCACCUUGAAAAGGGAGUUAAAUAGUGCGUGAAAUUGUUAAAAGGGAAACGAUUGAGAUCAGUAUUGCCUGCUGGCUGUUCAGCGUUGCUUCUGCAGCGUGCAUUCAGUCAGUGGGCGAGUCAGCGUCAGUUUGGGCUUCCGGAGAGAGGUCAGAGGAAGGUGGGGUCGUCCUUCGGGGCGACUCUUUAUAGACUCUGGCUGGCACGCGGAGCCCGGACUGAGGUGUGCGAUCGUAGUACUCACUCGGUGAACCCGGCCCCCAUGGUCAAGGACUGCACGCAGGCCUUGAUUGCAAGGGAAGGAUGUAGUCGGGUGCAUACGAUUCUAGGAUGCUGACGAAAUGGUCUUAAACGACCCGUCUUGAAACACGGACCAAGGAGUCUAACAUAUAUGCGAGUAUUUGGGUGGCAAACCCGAGUGCCAAAUGAAAGUGAUCUGGGUGAGAGCCUUGCCUCCUGGCUUGGUGCAUCAUCAGCCGAACCUUGAUGUCUUCUGAUAGGUUUGAGUAAGAGCAUAUCUGUUGGGACCCGAAAGGUAGUGAACUAUGCCUGGAUAGGAUGAAGCCAGAGGAAACUCUGGUGGAGGUCCGUAGCCGUUCUGACGUGCAAAUCGAUGGUCAAAUCUGGGUAUAGGGGCGAAAGACUAAUCGAACUACCUAGUAGCUGGUUCCCUC